UGCACCUGAUAUCAAGUAAGAUGACCCGCUGGACUUAAGCAUAUUACUAAGCGGAGGAAAAGAAAUNACNAAGCAUUGCCUUAGUAAGGGCGACUGAACCGGCAAAAGCUCGAAUUUGNAAUCGGAAAUUCUAAGAGUUUUCGAAUUGUAAUCNGGUUCGCUUAAAUGUGUNCGGCUGUCUAACAUUCUUGAAUGUUUGGCCAUAGAGGGUACUAGCCCCGUAAGACAGCUGUGCAUGUAAAGUGGAUUCAAAAGAGUCGGGUUGCUUGGACUGCAGCCCUAAGUGGGAGAUAUGAAUCUUCCAAAGCUAAAUAUAGAUGGGAGACCGAUAGCGAAAAAGUACUGUGAAGGAACGA
rnacentral:rRNA from 1 species